CCUACGGGUGGCAGCAGUAGGGAAUAUUGCUCAAUGGGGGAAACCCUGAAGCAGCAACGCCGCGUGGAGGAUGAAGGUUUUCGGAUUGUAAACUCCUUUUGUUAGAGAAGAUAAUGACGGUAUCUAACGAAUAAGCACCGGCUAACUCCGUGCCAGCAGCCGCGGUAAUACGGAGGGUGCAAGCGUUAUUCGGAAUCACUGGGUGUAAAGAGCGCGUAGGCGGGAGAGCAAGUCAGAAGUGAAAUCCUAUGGCUUAACCAUAGAACUGCAUUUGAAACUGUUAUUCUAGAGUAUAGGAGAGGUAAGUGGAAUUCUUGGUGUAGGGGUAAAAUCCGUAGAGAUUAAGAGGAAUACUCGUUGCGAAGGCGGCCUACUGGGCUUUUACUGACGUUGAGGCUCGAAAGUGUGGGGAGCAAACAGGAUUAGAUACCCUUGUAGUC
rnacentral:rRNA from 1 species